rnacentral:lncRNA from 1 species
UAUUCUUAAGUCUAUGUAUUUCUCUUUAUUCUUAUGUUUAUGCCUUUCUCAUGUCCUUAUUUCUCUCUUUACCUUUGCAAGCCCUCAGGAUAGCUAUCUACCUUUUUUAGGACUCUCUGCCUUUGCAAGUCUCUAUUGACUCUAUAAGUCUUCAAAGGUUGGAUUCAAUUCUACAAUUAGGAUUUAUGUCUUUCAUUGCAUUUAGUGUUUAUGGAUUUCAUCUAGAUUACUCUUAAAUCUAUCUCUUCCUAUUUUAUGUUUCUAUCCCUGUAGGUCUCCAAUUCUUUCACUUUACCUACAUAUCCUCAAUUUUUCUUUCUUUUUGUACAUUUGCAUGACACCUUGUGUCAUUGUCUCAAGUGGGUGAGAGAGCUUUUAGAGACAAAAAUGUAAGUGGAAUUAGUUAAUGGGACAAAUUAUUUUUGAACUUUCAAUGCAUGGGUCCAAAAUUAAUUUUCAACUAUUAUUUGAAAGAUAGUAAUAAAUAAAAGACUAAAAUGUUAUUAAAUAUUUGAAUAUUUUAUUAGUAUAAUAUUGAUAAAAAUAUUUAACAUUUAAUAUUAAUAAAAAUAUUUGAAUAUUAUAAUAUUGUAAUUUUUUUAUUAUCUUUCAAAUAAUGGUUAAAAGUUAAUUUUGGACCCAUAUAAUAAAAGUUUAAUUUGUCACAUAAAUGUUUAAUUUGGCCUAUAUUUUUCUUUAAAAAGUUUUCUUUCCCAUUUGGUCUUAGUGUGCAAGAGUGACAUAAAACGUCUUACAAAUGUAGAGAAAGAGAAAUUGAGAACAUGCAAACACAGAGUGAGAGAAUCAUGGACUUAUGAAAGUAGAAACAUGAAAAUAAGAAGAAAGAAGAUAGCCCUAAGAGUGAAAUAAUAAUAAUAAUAAUAAUAAUAAUAAUAAUAAUAAGGUCUCUCAAAAAUUAUAUAUAAACCUAUAUUUGGUUAAAAAAAUUUAAAUGUCUUUAAUUAUUUGUUAGAAAGUCCAAAUGACUUAAUAUUUUAGUCAUAUAUUUAAGGACAAAUAGAUUGAAAAGUUGAUAUGAUUUAGAGUUUGUUUGGAUAUAAAUUUCUUUAGAAAUACUUGUAGAAGAAAAAAAUAAAUUAAAUUUUUCCAUAAGUUAAAAUUAGAUCUUUAUUAGUUAAUCAUUAAUUAAUUUGUAGAUGACCUCUCAUCUUUUAGAUAAGUUAUAUAAGAAAAUUUUUAUAAAUUAAUUAAUGAAAAACUUAUUUUAGCUUAUGAAAAAAUUCAUCUUAUUUUUUUUUCUUAUUUUCUUAUCUUAAAAGUAUUUCUAAAGAAAUUUAGACAUAUUCUUGAUAUCUUAGUCAUACAUGGACAUAUAGAUAUAGGAGGGGCACCCAGGAGCUUUAGCUCCCCCUCUCAAACUUCUUUUAACUACAUAUCCCCAAAGUCGGUCAUGAGCAAUGGGGUUGCAUGUGUUGGAGAAGAUAAUGCUUUUGCUGAUUCUAAGUCCAUUAAAAAACAAGAGGAUGCUUAUGAUUGUUCUAAUCACUCUUAAGAUUUAAAUAUAUCUGGUCACGAGGUGCCUAAUGAUUUUGACACUGAAAAAGUUGACAAUAGUAAACCAAAAACAGGACAGACAAGCUACCAAGAAACCACAAAAGAAAUCAAGCUUGAAACAACUAAAUCAAAUCGGCAAAACCUUCAAAGGUUCAAGUUGCUGCUGACGAGAAGGAAACUGAGAAAAUGCUUGACUUUCAGCAACAGCAAGAAAGUUCCCAGUCUGUUGACGCAGCAGGACCACCAGAAAUUGUUUUUAAUUGAAUUGACAAAUCGAUUUGUCACCC